rnacentral:rRNA from 1 species
CCUACGGGAGGCAGCAGUGAGGAAUUUUCCGCAAUGGGCGAAAGCCUGACGGAGCAAUACCGCGUGAGGGAUGAAGGAUUUUGGUCUGUAAACCUCUUUUCUCAAGAAAGAAGUUCUGACGGUACUUGAGGAAUAAGCAUCGGCUAACUCCGUGCCAGCAGCCGCGGUAAUACGGGGGAUGCAAGCGUUAUCCGGAAUGAUUGGGCGUAAAGCGCCUGUAGGUUGUUUAUUAAGUCCGUUGUUAAAGCCUAGGGCUUAACCCUAGAAAAGCAAUGGAAACUAGUAGACUAGAGUAUGGCAGGGGUAGAGGGAAUUUCUAGUGUAGCGGUGAAAUGCGUAGAUAUUAGAAAGAACACCGGUGGCGAAAGCGCUCUACUGGACCAUUACUGACACUCAGAGGCGAAAGCUAGGGUAGCAAAAGGGAUUAGAUACCCCUGUAGUCCUAGCCGUAAACGAUGGAUACUAGAUGUUGUGCAUUAUGUACAGUAUCGUAGCUAACGCGUUAAGUAUCCCGCCUGGGGAGUACGCUCGCAAGGGUGAAACUCAAAGAUAGACGGCGNGNGAGUGUCGACGACGACGACGAGGAGGAG